UACAGAGGGUGCGAGCGUUAAUCGGAAUUACUGGGCGUGAAGGGCGCGUAGGCGGUUUAGUAAGUUAGAUGUGAAAGGCCUGGGCUUAACCUGGGAGUUGCAUCUAGUACUGCUAGACUGGAGUAGUGUAGAGGGGAGUGGAAUUUCCAGUGUAGCGGUGAAAUGCGUAGAUAUUGGAAAGAACACCGGUGGCGAAGGCGGCUCCCUGGACACAUACUGACGCUGAGGCGCGAAAGCGUGGGGAGCAAACAGG
rnacentral:rRNA from 1 species